rnacentral:lncRNA from 1 species
CAUGAUUGUGAGGCCUCCCCAGACAUGUGGAACUGAUGCUAUAUUGAAUUUUUGGAGAGAAAGUGAAACAUGUCUGGGUCUAAGCAAGAAGUGAAUAUCUGCUUGGAGAUUCUGUACAAGAUGGUGGGGCUAGAGAAGCAACCUAGAAAGCAGGGGAUCUCUUAAAAGGACAAGGAGCAGCAUUAGGAAAGGGAAGGGUGUUAGAGAUGGAUUUUCAUCCUA